UACGGAGGGUGCGAGCGUUGUCCGGAAUCACUGGGCGUAAAGGGCGCGUAGGUGGCUUGGUAAGGGUGCGGUGAAAGCCCGGGGCUCAACCCCGGGUCGGCCGUGCCGACUGCCAGACUGGAGCACUGUAGAGGCAGGUAGAAUUCCGGGUGUAGCGGUGGAAUGCGUAGAGAUCCGGAAGAAUACCGGUGGCGAAGGCGGCCUGCUGGGCAGUUGCUGACACUGAGGCGCGACAGCGUGGGGAGCAAACAGG
rnacentral:rRNA from 1 species